rnacentral:lncRNA from 1 species
UUCAGAGCUAUUAUCACAAGAUUGUGGGUUUUCUAUCUGAACAUUCAGAUUUUUGUUUAGGUUGCUAUAAUAGUUUUGUGACAGUUUAUUAGCUCCACUCCUCAUGGAUUCUUUCAAGCAAGAAAGGUUAACUUGCUCCCUUGGUAUUUGUAGUACUUCCAUUGAUGCCCAUCCUGCUCAAUAAGUGACAUCAGAGUUGGUAUUUUGCAGUUUUGCUUGAUUGAAUGAUGGGGGCUUAUUACGGAAGAAUGAAAUAUUUGAAUGACAUUAAUUACCAUAAGUAGAGAGGUAAAAUGAAGAAUAUGCUUGUCAAAAUCCAAAAAACAUAUGAGAUGGUUUGCGG